rnacentral:lncRNA from 1 species
GAAAAAAUGAAAUGAAAUAAGGAGGCUCAGAGAAGUUAAGUAACUGGCCCAGAGCUACCCAGCAAUAUCCUUGACCAAGGCUCAGGUCAUAAUUAUAACAGGGAAACUGGGAGAGAGAUGUACCUAGCUAGGGAAGCAGGCGAUGUGGAAAGGUGGAAGGGUCUAAAGAGUUGAGUAAAAUCCCAAGGAAAGUAUGUGAGAUCAGAGGAGGUCAGCAGUGGCCAGUCAACAGGACCAGAGAAGUCAGUUCCUGUUCUUGUUCCUGGUUUGCUGGGAGACCCAGGGCCUGUGCCCUGUGGAAACCCCAUACGCGUGUGUUGGCCUUUAGAUGUGCAGCCCCCAGAAGGCCGGAGCCGAGAUGGCCUGCUGACUGUGAACCUACGGGAGGGCUCCCGCCUGCACCUGUGUGCUGAGACCAGAGAUGACGCCAUAGCGUGGAAGACGGCACUGCUGGAGGCGAACUCCACGCCGGUGCGUGUCUACAGCCCGUACCAGGACUACUAUGAGGUGGUGCCCCCCAACGCGCACGAGACCACAUAUGUCCGCAGCUACUAUGGACCGCCCUACGCGGGGCCUGGAGUGACGCACGUAGUGGUGCGGGAGGAUCCCUGCUACAGCGCGGGCGCCCCCCUGGCCAUGGGCAUGCUUGCGGGAGCCGCCACAGGUGCCGCACUUGGCUCGCUCAUGUGGUCGCCCUGUUGGUUCUGAGCCCUGGACCCUACGCAUAGACCAAAAAGAGCCCCUGUCUCUUUGGUCCCACCUUUCACUAGCCAAGCCCAAUCCCACUUUGGAAGCUAUUAUCCCAGGCACAAACAUAGCUCAAAAUCCUUCUAUCUACUGCUAGACAUUCCAGAAAUCCAUUAUAGACGUUUGGAUAUCUUUCUCCCAAAUACACCAGGACACAGAAAACGCAAGUCAUGGGGCUUCAAGUUCCUCAGUCACUGGAGACACAAGAAUCAGGUUCUUUCUUUCCUCUGGCAGCUCCAGGC